AGAGUUUGAUCCUGGCUCAGAACGAACGCUGGCGGCAUGGAUUAGGCAUGCAAGUCGUACGUGAAGCAUUUUAAUGAUUCUUCGGAUGAAAUGAGAUGUGGAAAGUGGCGUAAGGGUGAGUAACACGUGGGUAAUGUACCUUCACGCUGGGGAUAACUUCGCGAAAGCGAAGCUAAUACCGAAUGCGAUUGAAGUAACUUCGGUUAUUUCAAUUAAAGGUGGGGACCUUCGGGCCUGCCGUGUGAAGAUCAGCCCGCGCCCUAUUAGCUUGUUGGUGAGGUAAUGGCUCACCAAGGCGACGAUGGGUAGCCGACCUGAGAGGGUGACCGGCCACACUGGGACUGAGACACUGCCCAGACUCCUACGGGAGGCUGCAGUCGAGAAUCGUUCGCAAUAGGCGAAAGCCUGACGACGCAAUGCCGCGUGUAUGAAGAAGGCCUUCGGGUUGUAAAAUACUUUGAGCAGGGAAGAAAGCUUGUCCGUUAAUAGCGGAUUAAGUUUGACGGUACCUGCAGAACAAGCCCCGGCUAAAUUCGUGCCAGCAGCCGCGGUAAUACGAAUGGGGCAAGCGUUGUUCGGAUUAACUGGGCGUAAAGGGGGUCUAGGUGGUUUACUAAGUUUCCUGUGAAAAUCCGGGGCUCAACUCUGGAAUUGCAGGGAAAACUAUUAAACUAGAGUGUGCGAGAUGCGUGCGGAAUACUGGGUGUAGCGGUGAAAUGCGUAGAUAUCCAGUAGAACACCAGCGGCGAAAGCGGCACGCAUGCGCAAUACUGACACUCAAGCCCGAAAGCGUGGGGAGCGAACAGGAUUAGAUACCCUGGUAGUCCACGCUGUAAACGAUGUGCACUAGAUGUGGGUGGUAUCGACCCUACCCGUGUCGUAGCUAACGCGUUAAGUGCACCGCCUGGGGAGUACUGUCGCGAGGCAGAAACUCAAAGGAAUUGACGGGGACCCGCACAAGCGGUGGAGCAUGUUCACUAAUACGAAGCAACGCGUAGAACCUUACCAGGGCUUGACAUGUAGCUGCAAAUCUCAUGAAAGUGAGACUCCUUCGAGGGUGCUACACAGGUGUUGCAUGGCUGUCGUCAGCUCGUGCCGUGAGGUGUUGGGUUAAGUCCCGCAACGAGCGCAACCCCUAUUGUUAGUUGCCAUCUCUCGUUUAUCGAGAAGGCACUCUAGCGAGACUGCCGGUGACAAACCGGAGGAAGGUGGGGACGACGUCAAGUCAGUACGGCCCUUAUGCCCUGGGCUUGAAACGUGCUACAAUGGCCGAUACAAUGGGUCGCAAUCCCGCGAGGGGGAGCUAAUCUCAAAAAGUCGGCCUCAGUUCGGAUCGGAGUCUGCAAUUCGACUCCGUGAAGUUGGAAUCGCUAGUAAUGGCGCAUCAGCUACGGCGCCGUGAAUACGUUCCCGGGUCUUGUACGCACCGCCCGUCACACC
rnacentral:rRNA from 1 species